rnacentral:ncRNA from 1 species
UGACUUUGGAUCAGAUGUGAAUACCUGCUGAACUUAAGCAUAUCACUAAGCGGAGGAAACGAAACUAGCAAGCAUUCCCCUAGUAACUGAGAGUGAACAGGGAUUAGCCCAGCACAGAAGCCUGUGGUUAUUUGACGGCAAAACAAUCUGGUGUUUAGGUUUGUUCUUGGCAUUACUGCUCUGCCUCAAGUCCAACAAUGAGUACGGCAUACCAUUGUGACUUAAAGAGGGUGAAAGGCUCGUUGAGGUAGAUACCAAGCAUGACAGUUUUGUCCAGAGCUAACCUU